rnacentral:snoRNA from 1 species
UGUACCACCUAUGCAGGCCCCAACAGUGAGCUUAGGGCAUUUUCUUUACCUGAUCAAUUCUCACUGUAGGUGGUACCUUUUGCGUAGAGCCUGAGAGAAUCAUGAAAAUGUUGCAGACAAAGUGGGAGCAGAGAACUGGAUA